GACGUAGGGAGCAAGCGUUGUCCGGAUUUACUGGGCGUAAAGAGCGCGUAGGCGGUCUGUUAAGUGUGAAGUGAAAUCUCUGUGCUCAACACAGAAACUGCUUCGCAUACUGGCAGACUUGAGGAAUGCAGAGGCAACUGGAAUUCCUGGUGUAGCGGUGAAAUGCGUUGAUAUCAGGAGGAACACCCAUGGCGAAGGCAGGUUGCUGGGCAUUAUCUGACGCUGAGGCGCGAAAGCGUGGGUAGCAAACAGG
rnacentral:rRNA from 1 species